rnacentral:tRNA from 1 species
GGAGCGGUCGUAGCUGACUGGUUAAGGUGUUCGCUUUGUAAGUGAAUGGUUCUGGGUUCGAUUCCCAUCUGCUCCC